rnacentral:lncRNA from 1 species
CAAUCAAAAGUAAAGUUCAACCCUGUCAUAUGAACACACACAUCACAAAGUAGUUUCUCAGAAUUCUGCUGUCUAGUUUUUAUGUGAAGAUAUUUCCUUUUCCAUCAUAGGCCUCAUGGCGCUCCAAAUGUCCACUUGCAGAUUUUACAAAAAGGGAGUUUCAAGACAGCUCCAUCAAAAGAAAGUUUUAACUCUGUGAGAUGCAUGCACACAUCACAAAGAAGUUUUUCAGAUUGCUUCUGUCUAGAUUUUAUUUUAAUAUAUAUCCUUUUCUAACGUAGGCGACAAAGUGCUCCAAAUGUCCACUUGCAGAUUCUACAAAAAGAGUGAUUCCAAACUGCUUAAUCAAAAGAAAGGUUCAACUCUGUGAGAUGAAUGCACACAUCACAAAGAAGUUUCUCAGAAUUAUUCUGUCUAGUUUUUAUCUGAAGAUGUUUCCUUUUACACCAUAGGCCUCAAAGCGCUCCAAAUGUACACUGGCAGAUUCUACAAAAAGAGAGUUUCAAAACUGCUUAAUCAAAAUAAAUGUUUAACUCUGUGAGAUGAAUGCACACAUCAUAAAGAAGUUUGUCAGACUGCUUUUAUCUAGAUUUUCUGUGAAGAUAUUUCCUUUUCUACCAGAGGUCGCAAAGCGCUCCAAAUGACCGCUUGCAGAUUCUACAAAAAGAGUGCUUCCAAACUGCUCAAUCUAAAGAAAGGUUCAACUCUGUGAGAUGUAAGCACACAUCACAAAGAAGUUUCUCAGAAUUUUUCUGUCUAGUUUCUAUGUGAAAAUAUUUACUUUUCCACCAUAGGCCUCAAAGCGCUCCAAAUGUCCACUUGCAGAUUUUACAAUAAGAGAGUUUCAAGACAGCUCAAUCAAAAGAAAGUUUUAACUCUGUGAGAUGAAUGCACACAUCACAAAGAAGUUUCUCAGAUUCAUAUUAUCUAGAUUUUAUGGUAAUAUAUUUCCUUUUCUAACAUAGGCUGCAAAGCGCUCCAAAUGUCCACUUGCAGAUUCCACAAAAAGAGUGUUUCCAAACUGCUCAAUCAAAAGAAAGGUUCAACUCUGUGAGAUAAACGCAUGCAUCACAAAGAAGCUUCUCCGAAUUCUUCUGUGUAGUUUUGAUGUCAAAAUAUUUCCUUUUCCUCCACAGGCCUCAAAGCGCUCCAAAUGUUAACUUGCAGAUUCUACAAAAAGAUUCAAAACUGCUCAAUCAAAACAAAGGCUUAACUCUGUGAGAUCAGUGCACACAUCACAAAGAAGUUUCUAAGAGUGCUUCUGUCUAGUUUCUAUGUGAAGAUAUUUCCUUUUCCACCAUAAGCCUCAAAGCGCUCCAAAUGUCCACUUCCACAUUCAACAAAAAGAGAGUUUCAAAACUGCUCAAUCAAAAGUAAGAGUUAACCCUGUGAGAUGAAUGCACACAUCCCAAGGAAGUUUCUCACAUUGCUUCUGUCUAGAUUUUAUGUGAGGAUAUUUCCUUUUCUAACUUAGGCUGCAAAGCGCUUCAAAUGCCCACUUACAGAAUCUACAAAAAGAGUGCUUCCAUAAUUCUCAAUCAAAAGAAAGGUUCAACUCUGUGAGAUGAACGCACACAUCACAAAGAAGUUUCUCAGAAUUCUUGUCUCUAGUUUUUAUGUGAAGAUAUUUCCUUUUCCACCAUAGGCCUAAAAGCACUCCAAAUGUUCACUUGCAGAUUCUACAAAAAAAAGAGUUUCAAAACUGCUCAAUCAAAAGAAUGCUUUAACUCUGUGAGAUGAAUGCACACAUCACAAAGAGGUUUCUCACAUUGGUUCUGUCUAGAUUUUAUGUGAAGAUAUUUCCUUUUAUAACAGAGGCAACAAAGCACUCCAAUAGUCCACUUGCAGAUUCUACAAAAAGAGUGUCUGCAAACUGCUCAAUCAAAAGGAAGUUUUAACUCUGUGAGAAGAACGUGCACAUCACAAAGAAGUUUCUCAAAAUUCUUCUGUCUAGUUUUUAUGUGAAGAUAUUUCCUUUCCCACUGUAGGCCUCAAAGCACUCAAAAUGUCCACUUGCAGAUUCUACAAAAAGAGAGCUUCAAAACUACUCAACCAAAAGAAAGGUUUAACUCUCUGAGAUGAAUGCACACAUCACAAAGAAGUUUCUGAGAUUGCUUCUGUCUAGAUUUUAUGUGAAGAUAUUUCCUUUUCUACCAUAGGCAACAAAGCACUCCAAUAGUCCACUUGCAGAUUCUACAAAAAGAAUGUUUCUAAACUGCUCAAUCAAAAGGAAGGUUCAACUUUGUGAGAUAAACGCAUACAUCACAAAGGAGAUUCUCAGAAUUCUUCUGUCAAGUUUUUAUGUGAAGAUAUUUCCUUUUCCACCAUAGGCCUCAAAAUGAUCCAAAUGUCCACUUGCAAAUUCUACAAAAACAGAGUUUCAAAACUGCUCAGUCAAAAGAAAGUUUGAACUCUGUGAGAUGAAUGCACACAUGCCAAAGAAGUUUCUCAGAUUCCUUCUGUCUAGAUUUUUUUGAAGAUAUUACCUUUUCUACCAUAGUCCUCAUAGCGCUGCAAAUGUCCACUUGCAGAAUCUCCAAAAAGAGUGUUUCCAAACUGCUGAAUCAAAAUAAACUUUCAACUAUUUGAGUUGAAGGCACACAUCACAAAGAAGAUUCUGAGAAUACUUCUGUCUAGUUUUUAUGUGAAGAUAUUUCCUUUUCCACUAUAUGCCCAAAAGCGCUCCAAAUGUCCACUUGCAGAUUCUACAAAAAGAGUGUUUCAAACCUGCUCUAUCAAAAGAAAGGUUCAACUCAGUGAGUUGAAUGCAAACAUCACAAAGAAGUUUCUGAAAAUGGUUCUGUCUAGUUCUUAUGUGAAGAUACUUCCUUUUCCAACAUAGGUCUCAAAGGGAUCCGAAUGUCCAAUGCAGAUUCUGCAAAAACAGUGUUUCAAACCUGCUCUAUCAAAAGAAAGGUUCAACUCUGUGAGUUGGAUGCAUACAUCACCAUCACAAAGAAGUUUCUGAGAAUGCUUCUGUCUAGUUUUUAUGUGAAGAUAUUUCCUUUUCCACCAUAGGCCUCAAAGCGCUCAGAAUGUUCACUUGCAGAUACUACAAAAAGAGUGUUUGAAACCUGUUCUAUCAAAAGAAAGGUUCAACUCUGUGAGUUGAAUGUACAUAGACAAAGAAGUUUCGGAGAAAACUUCUGUCUAAUGUUUAUGUGAAGAUAUUCCCGUUUCCAACGAAUGCCUCAACGCAUUCCAAAUAUCCACUUACGGAUUCUACAAAAAGAGUGUUUCAAAACUGUUCCAUAAAAAGAAAGUUUCAACUCUAUGAGUUGAAUGUACACAUCACAAGAAGUUUCUGAGGAUGCUGCUGUCAGUUUUUAUGUGAAGAUAUUCCCAUUUCCAACGAAGGCUUCAAAGCGAUCCAAAUAUCCACUUGCAGAUCCUACUAAAAGAGUGUUUCAAAACUACUCUAUCAUAAGGUAUGUUCAACUCCAUGAGUUGAAGGCAAACAUCACAAAGAAGUUUCUGAGAAUGCUUCUCUCUAGUUUUUGUGGGAAGAUAUUUGUUUUUCCACCAUAGGCCUCAAAGCGCUCCAAAUGUCCACUUGCAGAUUCUACAAAAAAAGUGUUUCAAAUCUGCCCUGUCAAAAGAAAGGAUCAACUCUGUGAGUUGAAUGCGCACAGAAAAAAGAAGUUUCAGAGAAACUUCUAUCUAGUGAUUAUGUGAAGAUAUUCCCAUUUCCAACGAAGGCCUCAAAGCGGUCCAAAUAUCCACUUGCAGAUUCUACUAAAAGAGUGUUUCAAAACUGCUCUAUUAUAAAGUAUGUUCAAGUCUCUGAGUUGAAUGCAAACAGCACACAGAAGUUUCUGAGAAUGCUUCUGUCUAGUUUUUAUGGGAAGAUAUUUGUUUUUCCACCAUAGCCUUCAAAUCUCUCCAAAUGUCCACUUGCAGAUUCUGCAAAAAGAGUGUUUCAAACAUGCUCUAUCAAAAGAAAAGUUUAACUCUGUGAGUUGAAUGCACACAUCACAAAGAUGUUUCUAAGAAUGCUUCUGUCUAAUUUUUAUGUGAAGAUAUUUCCUUUUCCACCACAGGCCCAAAAGUCCUCCAAAUGUCCACUUGCAGAUUCCACAAAAAGAGAGUUUCUAAACUGCUCUAUCAAAAGAAACGUUUAACUCUGUGAGAUGAAUGCACACAUCACAAAGAAGUAUCUCAGACUGCUUCUGUCUAGAUAUUAUGUAAAGAUGUUUCCUUUUCUACCAUAGGACACAAAGCACUCCAAAUGUCCCCUUGCAGAUUCUGGAAAAAGAGUGUUUCCUAACUGCUCAAUCAAAAGAAAGUUUCAACUCUGUGAGAUGAAUGCACACAUCACCAAGAAGUUUCUCGGAAUUCUUCUGUCUAGUUUUUAUGUGAAGAUAUUUCCUUUUCCACUAUAGGCCUCAAAGCACUUCAAAUAUCCACUUGCAGUUUCUACAAAAAGAGAGUUUCAAAACUGCUCAUUCAAAAGAAAGGUUUAACUCUCUGAGAUGAAUGCAGACAUAACAAAGAUGUUUCUCAGACUGAUUCUGCCUAGAUUUUAUGUGAAGGUAUUUCCUUUUCUACCAUAGGCCGCAAAGCUCUUCAAAUGUCCAAUUGCAGCUUCUAAAAAAAGGGUGUUUCCAAACUGCUCAGUCAAAAGAAAUGUUCAAUUCUGUGAAAUGAAUGCAGGCAUCACAAAGAAGUUUCUCAGAUAGCUGCUGUCUAGAUUUUAUGUGAAGAAACUUCCUUUUCUACCACAGGCAGUGAAGCCCUCCAAAUGUCCACUUGAAGAUUCUUCAAAAAGAGAGUUUCAAAACUGCUCAAUCAAAAGAAAUGUUUAACUCUGAGAGAUGAACACACACAUCACAAAGAAGUUUCUCAGAAUGCUUUUGUCCAGUUAUUAUAUAAAGAUAUUUCGUUAACCACCAUAUGCCUCAAAACACUUCAAAUGUCCACUUGCAGAUUUUACAAAAGAGAGUUUCAAAACUGCUCUAUGAAAAGAAAGAUUCAACUCUGUGAGAUGAAUGCACACAUCACAAAGAAGUUUGUCAGGUUUCUUCUGUCUAGAUUUUAUGUGAAGAUAUUUCCUUGUCUACCAUAGCUCACAAAGCGUUCCAAAUGUCCACUUGCAGAUUCUACAAAAAGAGUGUUCCCAAACCGCUCAAUCAAAAGUAAGGUUCAAUUCUGUGAGAUGAACGCACACAUCACAAAGGAGUUUCUCAGAAUUCUUCCGUCUAGUUUUUAUGUGAAGAUAUUUCCUUUUCCACCACAGGCCUCAAAGCGCUCCAAAUGUCCACUUGCAGUUUGUACAAAAAGGGAGACUCAAAAUUGCUCCAUUAAAAGGAAUGUUUUACUCUGUGAGAUGAAUGCACACAUCACAAAGAUGUUUCUCAGAUUGCUUCUGUCUAGAUAUUAUGUAAAGAUAUUUCCUUUUCUACCAUAGGCUGCAAAGCACUCCAAAUGUCCACUUGAAGAUUCUACAAAAAGAGUGUUUCCAAACUGCUCAAUUAGAAGAAAGGUUCAACUCUGUGAGAUGAACACACACAUCACAAAGAAGUUUCUCAGAAUUCUUCUGUCUGGUUUUUAUGUGAAGAUAUUUCAUUUUCCACCAUAGGCCUCAAGGCACUCGAAAUGUCCACUUGCAGAUUCUACAAAAAGAGUAUUUCAAAACUUGUCCACCAAAGAAAGUUUCAACUCUGGGACAUGAAUGCAAGCAUCACAAAGAAGUUUCUGAGAAUGCUUCUAUCUCGUUUUUUUUUUGUGAAGAUAUUUCCUUUUCCAACAUAGGCGUCAAAUUCCUCCAAAUGUCCACUUGCAGAUUCUACAAGAAGAGAGUUUCAAAAUUCCUCAAUCAGUAGAAAGGUUUAACUCUGUGAGAUGAAUGUACACAUCACAAAGAAGUUUCUCAGAUUUCUUCUGUCUAGAUUUUAUGUGAAGUUAUUUCCUUUUCUACCAUAGGCCACGAAGCGCUCCAUAUGUCCACUUGCAGAUUGUACAAAAAGCUUGUUUUGCAAACUGCUCAAUCAAAAGAAAGGUUCAACUCUGUGAGAUGAAAGCACGCAUCACAAGGAGUUUCUCAGAAAUCUUCUGUCUAGUUUUUAUGUGAAGAUAUUUCAUUUUCCACCAUAGGCCUCAAAGCGCUGCAAAUGUCCACUUACAGAUUCUACAAAAAGAGAGUUUCAAAACUGCUCAAUCAAAAGAAAGGGUUAAACAUGUGAGAUGAACGCAAACAUCAGAAAGAAGUUUCUCAGAUUGCUUCUGUCUAGAUUUUAUGUGAAGAUAUUUCCUUUUCCACCAUAGGCCUCAAAGCGCACCAAUGUCCACUUGCAGAUUCUCCAAAAAGAGUGUUUCUAAACUGCUCAAUCAAAAGAAAGGUUCAACCCUGUGAAAUAAAUGGACACAUCACAAAGAAGUUUCUCAGAAUUCUUCUGUCUGGUUUUUAUGUGAAGAUAUUUACUUUUCCACCAUAGGCUGUAAAUCGCUCCAAAUAUCCACUUGCAGACACUACAAAAAGAGUAUUUCAAAAGUGCUAAAUCAAAAGAAAAGUUCAACUCUGUGAGGUGAAUGCACACAUCACAAAGAAGUUUCUCAGAAUGCUUCUUUCUUGUCUUUAUGUGAAGAUAUUUCCUUUUCCAUUCAGAAACUCGUAGCAGUGUUCUGUAAUCCUGUGUGAGGGACAAACACUCAGAAUCCAGCCACUGUGUACUGGAGUCCUAUCUGAGGGCACACAUUUAAAAUCCAGAUGUAGUCUCCUUGCUUUAGUGAAUACACUUAUCUCCUUUUCCUGCUAUACAUUUAGGCAAAUUAUUUUUCUGUAUCUUAAAUAAAUGGUAAAUACCUGAAAUUUCUUACUUUUUCCAGGCAGAGUGUCUUCACUAUUUAGCUGUAGAAGUAUAACUAUUUUUGUCUGUGUCACAAUUUUGUACUCAGGAACCCUGGCCAUGUCACUAGCCAAACGGACAUAACUUAUGGAAUACAUGGACAGCAUCCGGUUGAUAUGCUCUAGAGAAAAAUAGCAGCUACCAUAGACUUCAGGAAAGACACAUCGAGCCAAUGACAAAAAUGUGGGUUUCCUACCUUCAGGGAGUCUAAGAAUGCAGUAGAAAGUGAUGUGGAGAAAACAUCUUUCAAAUGGAAGGAAGGGAUAGGGAAAGGAAGACUGUUAGAGGCUCUUUUGAAUGUUAGAGGCAACAUAAAACAUAUUUGGAUGUGUAUUCUAAAUAAAAUGCAAAUGUCAAGAAGGAUGUCAGCUGUGAGUGGGACUCAGAGAAAGAGAAACGUUUUGGACUACAGAGGCCUGCAGUACAAGUGGAUCUACAAUUUUGUUUAGGGAAUCCAAUGCCUCAGGUAUCUAUGUGAGGCAGAAUUUUCCUAUGGAGCCAGCGGCAAGGCUCCAGAGGAGAAAUACAGUACAAGCCACUUUAUUUUGGAGUAAAAGCCUUUUGUACAAAAAUUACCCGCCCCCUCCUUUUUUGAGAAACAAUUUCACAUUGGGAUACUAAUAAGAAGGAAUGCUCAGUCAUGAAUAAGGGUGACCCCGUUGUGAUCUGAGCAUUAUAGGAUCAUAGUAACUACAACCAGUCUUCCAUCAUUCCAUGGAAAUUGCAUGUAUGCCACGUUGCCUUCUCAGUUUCCAAGGGACCAAUUAAUGAACAGGCUACUCACAUUUUCAACAUCCUACUCCUGACACACUCCCACCCUUCUUUCUAUUUAUCUGUGAUUCAUAGAGAUUUGCCUAUGACUGGAUUCCUGAGGAGAAAAAAGUCUGGAUUACAGAUGGCAUUCCUUGUUAUGGAAGGCCCUUCCUUCUGAAAGUCUAUUUCUAUCACGUUCUUUCCCUGUGCUGUCAAAGGGUCACCCCUUUGUACAAAGGAGAAGAGAAAUCCAUCAAAGUCUUCCUUUGUCAGUGCAGUGGAGUGAUCUCGAC